rnacentral:rRNA from 1 species
AUGCAUCGUCCGCUAGUGUUUGAUGAACUACCACUUUAUAUGGUUGAUAUUUAUGAUCCAAGAAAUUGGGGUAAUCUUGAUAAUAAAGCAAGAGACAUCUUAGUUGAGAAAGGGCCUAUAUGAAAGAGGAGAAUCUGUUUUCCAUAUAGACAUGUAGGAAGACAUUGUUCAUAUGCUCAUUAUCAUAGGAAAUUAAGCAAUGGAGAGGAACAUGACAUAAAAUGGAUAAUUUAUUAA